rnacentral:rRNA from 1 species
AGUGAACGCUGGCGGCGUGCCUAAUACAUGCAAGUCGAACGAAGUGGCGCACGGGUGAGUAAUAUAUAGUUAAUCUGCCCUACACAGAGGAACAACAGUUGGAAACGACUGCUAAUACCUCAUAGUGUAGGAUGAGACUAUAUCGUAUCAGCUAGUUGGUAAGGUAAUGGCUUACCAAGGCUAUGACGCGUAACUGGUCUGAGAGGAUGAUCAGUCACAUUGGAACUGAGACACGGUCCAAACUCCUACGGGAGGCGGCAGUAAGGAAUAUUGCGCAAUGGGUGAAACCCUGAUGCAGCGACGCCGCGUGGGGGAUGAAGGCUUUCGGGUUGUAAACCUCUUUCGGUAUCGAACGGGUAGGUGGAGAAGAAGCGCCGGCUAACUACGUGCCAGCAGCCGCGGUAAUUC